rfam:Picea glauca, whole genome shotgun sequence.
UGUCAUAAGAUUUCCCAAAAAUCAAUCUCAAUGAAGAGGGUGUUGAAAUCAAGGAAACAUUUGAGGGCAUUCCAUAACUUUUUCCCCUUCAAGCAAUAUCUCAAACAACCUUCCAUCCAAAGUCAACAAAAUUGAAACCCAUUUUUUAGAGUUGUUGGUGCCUCAUCCUAUAACUGACGACAAUGUUAGGAAAUCCGGAGACAUCGUCGGGGGCCCCAGGAAGACUUAUAUUUUCUUUUUAACAGCUUUCCCACCAUGAAAUUGGCUCAACCAGAGAUAGGGUCCAACAGCUGGAAGAGCAUCGCACAUCUUGUGGUGUCCGGUGUGCCCUCAAUGACCCUUGAAAAUCUGGAGGACCGAGUACCAUCCAUGCCCGAUCAUACUCAUAACUGCAUUAGGUCUCCAAGGUGAACAAUCUCU